rnacentral:lncRNA from 1 species
GGCUUAGGAAAAAAAUGGCGGUCUGGGUUUCUCUACAGAUGGGUUCUCGCAAGCUGUUGGGCCGUCAUGGUGAUGGUUUGAGAAGGAGAGGUAGUGGCGUUGAUGGAGAUCCACGGUGGAGGAAGGGGAAGAUGGUCCUAGUGGUGUUUCUGGGUGGUUGCUGGACGGAGAAGAUGAACAGUUGGUGUCCAUGUCAUUCACUGAUUGCACCGUUAGACAUUUGGUCAUUAACGAUUUAAACGACAUUUGCAAAAAGGACUAAAUUAAAAACAAAUUACAAUCUUUAGGAUUACAUUGAACAUUUUAAAAAAAUUAGGACCAUUUCGAACAAAGAUGACCAAAAUUGGGACCAAUAAUGGUAUUAAGCCUGAAUAUAAUUAC